rnacentral:rRNA from 1 species
AGAGUUUGAUCCUGGCUUAGGAUGAACGCUGGCGGCGUGCCUAAUACAUGCAAGUGAAACGGGUAUCUUCGGAUACCAGUCGCGGACGGGUGAGUAAUACAUAGGCAACCUGCCUUUAUGAGGGGGAUAACCGAGGGAAACUUUGGCUAAUACCGCAUGAAGACUCUAAGGCAUCUUAGAGGGAUAAAAGUUGGGAAACAACGCAUGAAGAUGGGCUUAUGGCGCAUUAGCUAGUUGGUGAGAUAGAAGCCCACCAAGGUAAUGAUGCGUAGCCGACCUGAGAGGGUGAACGGCCACAUUGGGACUGAGACACGGCCCAAACUCCUACGGGAGGCAGCAGUAGGGAAUUUUCGGCAAUGGGGGGAACCCUGACCGAGCAACGCCCGCGUGAAGGAAGAAGGUUUUCGGAUUGUAAACUUCUGUUAUAAGGGAAGAACGGAUUGGAUAGGGAAUGAUCUGAUAGUGACGGUACCUUAUUAGAAAGCCACGGCUAACUACGUGCCAGCCGCCGC